UACGUAGGGGGCUAGCGUUGUCCGGAAUCAUUGGGCGUAAAGAGCGCGUAGGCGGCCAGAUAAGUCCGGUGUGAAAGUCAAAGGCUCAACCUUUGAAUGCCGCUGGAAACUGUCUGGCUAGAGUCCGGGAGGGGCGAGUGGAAUUCCUGGUGUAGCGGUGAAAUGCGCAGAUAUCAGGAAGAACACCCGUGGCGAAAGCGGCUCUCUGGAACGGUACUGACGCUGAGACGCGAAAGCGUGGGGAGCAAACAGG
rnacentral:rRNA from 1 species